rnacentral:rRNA from 1 species
AUUGAACGCUGGCGGCAGGCCUAACACAUGCAAGUCGAACGAGUGGCGGACGGGUGAGUCAUGUCUGGGAAAUUGCCUGAUGGCUGGGGUUAACUACUGGAAACGGUAGCUAUUACCGCAUCCCUUUGGAUGUGCCCAGAUGGGAUUGGCUAGUAGGUGGGGUAAAGGCUCACCUAGGCGACGAUCCCUAGCUGGUCUGAGAGGAUGAACAGCAACACUGGAACUGAGACACGGUCCAGACGCCGACGGGAGGCAGAAGUGGGGAAUAUUGCACAAUGGGCGCAAGCCUGAUGCAGCCAUGCCGCGUGUAUGAAGAAGGCCUUCGGGUUGUAAAGUACUUUCAGCGGGGAGGCGUUACCCGCAGAAGAAGCACCGGCUAACUCCGUGCCAGCAGCCGCGGUAAUAC